GACAGCCGGGCUACCAUGUAACGUUCUGCCAGCCCCUGACUGCAAUGAGAAUUGAGUUAUGGGCCAACAAGCAAUAUAUGUCCGUAGAUGCCCUUAAAACCAUGAACUGGUAUCAUGGAGGCUGUUAUCAAUUUGUGGCCACCAACCAAUUGGCCUGUCAGUCCUCUAUGUUCUUCUUAGUAUCCCUUAUUUUCAUUCUAGUCUAGCUUCCAUUUUAGACAAGCUCUUUUGUCUCUCUAUUUUUCUUCCUGCUUCCUUUGAAGGCUUUCCAGGGUUCACAGGCAAGAAGCAGUCGAUAUACCAAGUAACGUCCUGACAUUGAGUUAUGCUCGAGUGCUUGGGUUAUAGGAACUCCACGCACUGAUCAGCUCAUUGUCGACCCUAAGGAAGAGAGACCCAGCAGGAGAGAUAUCUGCAUUAGUGGGUGGCUAAGUGCUCUGGCCCCACUUUACCCAGCACAGUUAGUUAGAAGGCAUUUUUUACCUAAUGGUUACCAUUCCUGCUUCCUAUAACAAUAUUUAAAAUCCUAGUUCUUACAGGAUAAACCUGAUAGGCAAAAUUAUAG